CAAGUCGAACGAACUUAACCAUUAGUUUACUAUUGGAGCGGUUAGUGGCGGACUGGUGAGUAACACGUAAGCAACCUGCCUAUCAGAGGGGAACAACAGUUAGAAAUGACUGCUAAUACCGCAUAUGCCUUAGAAUCACAUGGUUCGAAAGGGAAAGGAGCAAUCCGCUGAUAGAUGGGCUUGCGUCUGAUUAGCUAGUUGGUGGGGUAAUGGCCUACCAAGGCGACGAUCGGUAGCCGAACUGAGAGGUUGAACGACCACAUUGGGACUGAGAUACGGCCCAGACUCCUACGGGAGGCAGCAGUCGGGAAUAUUGCGCAAUGGAGGAAACUCUGACGCAGUGACGCCGCGUGCAGGAAGAAGGUUUUCGGAUUGUAAACUGCUUUAGACAGGGAAGAACAAAGACAGUACCUGUAGAAUAAGCUCCGGCUAACUACGUGCCAGCAGCCGCGGUAAUACGUAGGGAGCGAGCGUUAUCCGGAUUUAUUGGGUGUAAAGGGUGCGUAGACGGGAAGUCAAGUUAGUUGUGAAAUCCCUCGGCUUAACUGAGGAACUGCAACUAAAACUGAUUUUCUUGAGUACUGGAGAGGAAAGUGGAAUUCCUAGUGUAGCGGUGAAAUGCGUAGAUAUUAGGAGGAACACCAGUGGCGAAGGCGACUUUCUGGACAGAAACUGACGUUGA
rnacentral:rRNA from 1 species